rnacentral:rRNA from 1 species
GAUGAACGCUAGCGGCAGGCCUAAUACAUGCAAGUCGAACGGAUAUAUGUUUUUCGGAAUAUAUAUUAGUGGCGCACGGGUGAGUAACACGUACAUAACUUGCCCUCAAGCGGGGGAUAGCCUUGGGAAACUGAGAGUAAUACCCCAUAGAAUUAUUGGACGGCAUCGUUUGAUAAUUAAAACUACGGUGUUUGGGGAUAGAUGUGCGUCUGAUUAGCUAGUUGGUGAGGUAACUGCUCACCAAGGCGACGAUCAGUAGGGGGCGUGAGAGCGUGGCCCCCCACACGGGUACUGAGACACGGACCCGACUCCUACGGGAGGCAGCAGUAAGGAAUAUUGGUCAAUGGAGGGAACUCUGAACCAGCCAUGCCGCGUGAAGGAUGACGGCCCUCUGGGUUGUAAACUUCUUUUGGAUGGGGCGAAAAAACGGGAUUUAUCCUGGACUGACGGUACCAUCAGAAUAAGCACCGGCUAACUCCGUGCCAGCAGCCGCGGU